GUGGAUUAGAUACCCUGGUAGUCCAUGCCGUAAACGUUGGGCGCUAGGUGUGGGACCCAUUCCACGGGUUCCGUGCCGCAGCUAACGCAUUAAGCGCCCCGCCUGGGGAGUACGGCCGCAAGGCUAAAACUCAAAGGAAUUGACGGGGGCCCGCACAAGCGGCGGAGCAUGCGGAUUAAUUCGAUGCAACGCGAAGAACCUUACCAAGGCUUGACAUGCACCGGACACCUCCAGAGAUGGGGGCUCCUUUUGGGCUGGUGCACAGGUGGUGCACGGCCGUCGACAGCU
rnacentral:rRNA from 1 species